rnacentral:rRNA from 1 species
CAGCAGCCGCGGUAAUACGUAGGUGGCGAGCGUUGUCCGGAAUUAUUGGGCGUAAAGGGAGCGCAGGCGGGCGAGUAAGUCUUUCUUAAAAGUGCGGGGCUCAACCCCGUGAGGGGAGAGAAACUACUCAUCUUGAGUGCAGGAGAGGAAAGCGGAAUUCCUAGUGUAGCGGUGAAAUGCGUAGAUAUUAGGAAGAACACCAGUGGCGAAGGCGGCUUUCUGGACUGUAACUGACGCUGAGGCUCGAAAGCCAGGGGAGCGAACGGGAUUAGAUACCCCUGUAGUCCCUGUCUCUUAUACC